rnacentral:rRNA from 1 species
GAUGAACGCUGGCGGCGUGCCUAAUACAUGCAAGUCGAGCGAACAGACGAGGAGCUUGCUCCUCUGACGUUAGCGGCGGACGGGUGAGUAACACGUGGAUAACCUACCUAUAAGACUGGGAUAACUUCGGGAAACCGGAGCUAAUACCGGAUAAUAUAUUGAACCGCAUGGUUCAAUAGUGAAAGACGGUUUUGCUGUCACUUAUAGAUGGAUCCGCGCCGCAUUAGCUAGUUGGUAAGGUAACGGCUUACCAAGGCAACGAUGCGUAGCCGACCUGAGAGGGUGAUCGGCCACACUGGAACGGAGACGCGGUCCAGACUCCUACGGGAGGCAGCAGUAGGGAAUCUUCGGCAAUGGGCGGAAGCCUGACGGAGCGACGCCGCGUGAGUGAUGAAGGUCUUCGGAUCGUAAAACUCUGUUAUUAGGGAAGAACAAAUGUGUAAGUAACUAUGCACGUCUUGACGGUACCUAAUCAGAAAGCCACGGCUAACUACGUG